GUGCAGUAAUGUAUUUAGCUGACCGAUACUAAUAGACCGAGGGCUUGAACU
rnacentral:rRNA from 1 species